GCCAUCAUGGCUGGCGUCGCGGUGAAGCUCCACCUCUCUCCGGUUCCAGAUCUCGCCGAGAGCCGCCGCCUCCACGGACGAACCAACCACCAUUACCAUCCUUGCCUCUCCCUACCCUCAAUCCCCCGCACUUUCCCUUCGAUCUCCAUCCCCCUCCUCCUCCCCCGUUCCGCCAACCCUAGCCUCUCCCAGACUCUAGCCUCCACCGAACCCCCCGCCCUCUCCAGCGGCGGACCCUCCAAACCACCACACGGUCCCAGCGAUAAUGGCCGCGGCGGAGGCGGCGGCGACGGCGCCCCCGGCGAUGAUCACCACAGCGAGGAGCCGAGGUCGUCCGAUCCGGGCGGUCCCCUUGGGCUCUUCCUCGAGGGUUGGCGUUCUAGGGUCACGGCCGAUCCU
rnacentral:lncRNA from 1 species